rnacentral:rRNA from 1 species
GUGAGGAAUAUUGGUCAAUGGAGGCAACUCUGAACCAGCCAUGCCGCGUGAAGGAUGAAGGUCCUCUGGAUUGUAAACUUCUUUUAUAAAAGAAGAAACCCCAGAUUUCUAUCUGGGUUGACGGUACUUUAUGAAUAAGCACCGGCUAACUCCGUGCCAGCAGCCGCGGUAAUACGGAGGGUGCAAGCGUUAUCCGGAUUCACUGGGUUUAAAGGGAGCGUAGGUGGGCUGGUAAGUCAGUGGUGAAAUCCCCGAGCUUAACUUGGGAACUGCCAUUGAUACUAUCAGUCUUGAAUACUGUGGAGGUAAGCGGAAUAUAUCAUGUAGCGGUGAAAUGCUUAGAUAUGAUAUAGAACACCGAUAGCGAAGGCAGCUUACUACGCAGUUAUUGACACUGAGGCUCGAAAGCGUGGGGAUCAAACAGGAUUAGAUACCCGAGUAGUCC